rnacentral:rRNA from 1 species
UACGAAGGGUGCAAGCGUUACUCGGAAUUACUGGGCGUAAAGCGUGCGUAGGUGGUUUGUUAAGUCUGUUGUGAAAGCCCCGGGCUCAACCUGGGAAUGGCAAUGGAUACUGGCAGGCUAGAGUGCGGUAGAGGGUAGUGGAAUUCCUCGGUGUAGCAGUGAAAUGCGUCAGAUAUCGAGGAGGAAUACCGAUGGCGAAGGCAGGUCUCUGGGCUGAGCACUGACGCUCAUGCACGAAGCGUGGGGAGCAAACAGG